rnacentral:tRNA from 1 species
CGUCGGCUGGGCCUGGUACCAGCGCCGCGUGCGCGUGCCGCGCGGCUGGGCCGGUGAACGCGUCGUCCUGCGGUUCGACGCCGCCACCCACGA